CACGUAGGGUGCGAGCGUUAUUCGGAAUUAUUGGGCGUAAAGGGUGCGUAGGCGGCUUUGUAAGUCAGUGGUGAAAUAUGGCAGCUCAACUGUCAGGGUGCCAUUGAUACUGCAGAGCUUGAGUACAGAUGAGGUAGGCGGAAUUGACGGUGUAGCGGUGAAAUGCUUAGAUAUCGUCAAGAACACCGAUAGCGAAGGCAGCUUACUAGGCUGUAACUGACGCUGAGGCACGAAAGUGUGGGGAUCAAACAGG
rnacentral:rRNA from 1 species